CCCUCUUCUACUCUCCUCCUCCUCUGUUUUUGUUUGUGCUGUGACACAUGAAAACGAGUAUGUUAGCACCGCUGGUCUCCGCCGUUGGCAAGAGAGAGAUCCCACAAGGAGCAACAACACGUGACAGAUACAACAACCAGGUUGAUUCUCUCUCUACUUAUCUCGCUUUGUCUAUCUCUCCCUCGUUUCCUUCCUCUCUCGCUAUACAUUUAUGCAUACAACCCCUAAUUUCAGAAACCCUAGUUUUUUUGUUGACAAGAAACCAAAUUCAAAAAACCCUUAAUUUUUUGCAGAAAUUAAACCCAAUUUUGAAAUUCAUUGGAGCUUUUGUUUAUUCUGAUUGUUGUUUUGUACAAUUUCUUGGAGUUUCAUUUGAUUGAAGAUCUUCUCACUUGAUUCCGUGGAAGUCCGGUGUCGCUGACGUAACAUUCGUGCUCUGAGAUCUACAAAGGUGUGGCCUUAAAGUGUAAAAUUCUUCAUGAAAGGCGAGGAUGGUGGCGAUGCGUGACGAGGCAGUGUUGGAGCAGGGUGAUGGUGGCUCGAAUAUAUGGUGGGGAUAUCAUAAGGACUGUCAUUGUGACGUUUCCUGCUCGUAGGGAAUAGAUUCUGUACGGAGUUGGUGUUUUUGUAAGGUGAGAAUGUACAGCUUCAAUACAAAUUCACCAAAUUCUCACUUCUCUUGAUUGCUUGUUCGUUUUGCGUGGACAAUUGAUGCACCUCUCCACUUAGCUUUUGUACAAGGUUCAUCAAUGAUUCAAUUUCCUCUUCAUUUUCUACAACAAAGGUCUUCAGUAACUAAAAUUGGAAUAGGUGGAGGGAGAAGUAGAUAUUUAACCCUUUUUUUUUUU